GUUGUGGCUCAGCGGUAGAGCACUCAGUUAGCAUGUGGGAGGCCAGGGUUCGAUCCUCAGCAUCACA
rnacentral:tRNA from 1 species